rnacentral:rRNA from 1 species
ACGCUCGACACCUACGGAAGGCAGCAGUGGGGAAUAUUGCACAAUGAAGGAAACUCUGAUGCAGCGAUGCCGCGUGAGGGAAGAAGGUUUUCGGAUUGUAAACCUCUGUCUUUGGGGACGAUAAUGACGGUACCCAAGGAGGAAGCUCCGGCUAACUACGUGCUAGCAGCCGCGGUAAUCUGAGCGGGCUGGCAAGGC